rnacentral:sRNA from 1 species
GUCAACAAUCCAUCCUUAAAUGGGAGGAGCUUGUAGGUAACUACAAGUCGGGUUGACCAAGGAACGUUACGGGGCCGUGGCAAUGCAAAGAAGUAACUACGUGAACGAUAGGCAAGACCAGACCCACUCCGGGAUGCUUCCUCAGUCUGGGGCUCUGGAAGGAGGGGAUCAUGCUGGCGAAAGGCAAAGCGCCAACGGUUCUCUUUUCCUGCGCGCGCAGAUAGCCGGUCGCGCACAUUCCCGAGGGGAGCGAGUCGAGAACGCCAACCCGACUCCGUCACCGGCGAAAGCCG